rnacentral:rRNA from 1 species
UACAGAGGUCCCAAGCGUUGUUCGGAUUCACUGGGCGUAAAGGGCGCGUAGGCGGCCAGCACAAGUCAGUUGUGAAAUCUCCGAGCUUAACUCGGAAAGGUCAACUGAUACUGUGCGGCUAGAGUGCGGAAGGGGCAACUGGAAUUCUUGGUGUAGCGGUGAAAUGCGUAGAUAUCAAGAGGAACACCUGCGGCGAAGGCGGGUUGCUGGGCCGACACGUGACGCUGAGGCGCGAAAGCCAGGGAGCGAACGGG